GCCUAAAUAGCUUAGUUGGGAGAGCGUUAGACUGUAGAUCUAAAGGUCCCCAGUUCGAUUCCGGGUCUGGGCA
rnacentral:tRNA from 1 species